UGGGGAAUUUUGCGCAAUGGGCGAAAGCCUGACGCAGCAACGCCGCGUGCGGGAUGAAGGCCUUCGGGUUGUAAACCGCUUUCAGCAGGGACGAAACUGACGGUACCUGCAGAAGAAGCCCCGGCUAACUACGUGCCAGCAGCCGCGGUAAUACGUAGGGGGCAAGCGUUAUCCGGAUUCAUUGGGCGUAAAGCGCGCGUAGGUGGCUUGUUAAGCGAGAUGUGAAAACCGGGGGCUCAACCCGCGGCCUGCAUCUCGAACUGGCAGGCUUGAGUCUGGUAGAGGGGUGUGGAAUUCCUAGUGUAGCGGUGAAAUGCGCAGAUAUUAGGAGGAACACCAGUGGCGAAGGCGGCACCCUGGGCCACGACUGACACUGAGGCGCGAAAGCUAGGGGAGCAAA
rnacentral:rRNA from 1 species